rnacentral:rRNA from 1 species
CCUACGGGAGGCAGCAGUAAGGAAUAUUGGUCAAUGGGCGGAAGCCUGAACCAGCCAUGCCGCGUGCAGGAAGACGGCCCUAUGGGUUGUAAACUGCUUUUGUACCGGAAUAAACCCCCGAACGUGUUCGGGGCUGAAUGUACGGUAAGAAUAAGGAUCGGCUAACUCCGUGCCAGCAGCCGCGGUAAUACGGAGGAUCCAAGCGUUAUCCGGAUUUAUUGGGUUUAAAGGGUGCGUAGGCGGCCUGUUAAGUCAGGGGUGAAAGACGGUAGCUCAACUAUCGCAGUGCCUUUGAUACUGACGGGCUUGAAUGUACUUGAGGUAGGCGGAAUGUGACAAGUAGCGGUGAAAUGCAUAGAUAUGUCACAGAACACCAAUUGCGAAGGCAGCUUACUAAGGUAUGAUUGACGCUGAGGCACGAAAGCGUGGGGAUCAAACAGGAUUAGAUACCCUGGUAGUCCACGCCCUAAACGAUGAAUACUCGAUGUUGGCGAUAUACGGCCAGCGUCUAAGCGAAAGCGUUAAGUAUUCCACCUGGGGAGUACGCCCGCAAGGGUGAAACUCAAAUGAAUUGACGG